GACGUGACGGGGAGGUUUCUGGAGAGACCGGUCGUCUCCCCGUCUUCCAGACGUCCUGGAAGGUCCUGGGUGGCUUUGUCUGGGUUUUAGCUAUUUCCCAGUGCCACUUGGGCUGUGAGAAUCUUCAUAUUUAUACUUUUAGUAAACUUAGUUCUGAUAGUUUUUAUCUGAAGGUUAAAUAAGUUCAAUUUCAUAUUAAUCAUAAAGUGGAAAGCCACUGGUGUUUGCCGUGAGUAAAAGCCAAGAAACCUGAGGCAUGAAAGCUGUGAAUUGCACAAGACCCUCAUUGAGCUCCAGAAGUGGCAGAUCCAGAAUCUGAACACAGAGGGAACUCCAGAGCCUGGACUUAGAGCCACUACACUCUUUUAAAGGCAAAUGAUACUUUGCCAAAGGAAGUACUCCAAGGCCCUGACAUUUGAAGUGCACUAAACUACUCCGUUCUGAACAUGCAGUUGAACAGAAAAGCCCCAAAGGCUGCAGGGAGAGGAUGGAAAUACCCAGGCACAUGUAAUUCUGCACAGUGGGCAGAGUCUUCUUCAUUUGAACCCUCUUCAGAAACAUGCCACCCUCAUCUUAAGGAAUGUGCGCACACUAGGAAGAUGGAGACUUCCUGACCGCGUUCCUCAGCAGUGGUAAGAGAGGAGACAGUUACCUCCUCAGCACGUAGAGCCCUUUCAAUGACCUAAGCUUCACAGCACAAUGCAACAGUCAAGGAGACUCCCAUGGAAAUGUCAAGAAGGCCGGCCGGCUGCCCACAGCUCAGCAGGACUCCAACAUCCCUCCGUGAUGAAAGGCUCAACUUCCUCAUCUUCCUAGGAACGUGAGCAUAAAGCUGCAAAUCCAAGUGACCACAGUCCUUCAAACACAUCAUUUUUGGAGGACUGUAUUUUUUCAGUGAUGCUGUCAUUGUUUGGAGAAUCCUUAGGAUACCAUUUUGGAACUAUACAUUUAUGGAGAAGGAAAAAUGCAGUAUCUUCGGUCUCUUAUUACUUUGUGAUCAUGUCUCGUUUUGACACAAAAUGAUCAACCUUCCUCAGUUAAUUAGAUAAUUGUUGGAGAGGAAGUCAAAUUCAUAUUCAAACAACAAACAAGUUUUGCCUUUGAAAAUGUUGCAAAGGUUGGGCAAUAGGCUUUUGAAUACCAAGAACAUUUUCAGUAAUGGCAACAUCAGUAGAAUAAGGAGUAAGAAAUCACAUCUUGGAUUUCAGCAGGACAUGCAAUCCUGCCCCAGAGCCACACCGAAUGUGAAGGAGGGGAGGAUGGACAUCCUCGUGUUACUGCCACUUGUAUAGCAGCACAGCUGAGCAUCGGGCUGCCAGGAGCUCAGACUGGGAGUUACAUCAAAACUUCACAAGGUGUAGUCCAAGUAACAGCCUUGGGACCCAAGGAAAAAUCACAUAUAGGCAGGUUAGAAGCAUGCAAGAAGUAGGAAUCCAGGCAGGUAGAAGCCAGAUCCUUCCCCUUCAAAAGGUCUUCCCGCAGACUAAUGAGCCUGGGGCCCCGGGAUGGGAAGAUAGAGUUCAGGUCAGGGCUUCUGGCCUCAGAUAAAAAUGCUGGGCUUUUUUUUUGUGGAAAGCCAGGCCCUCUCUGAGUCUGGAGGGGGUCCAGUGGCCAUUCCCAAGGCCAGGAGCUGUAUGAGUGUCCAGCGAUCUGAAACUCACUGGACAGUGUCUAAGGCUAAGACUCAUUUAUUGAAGGACCAAGACAUUCAGAACUCAUAACUUGCAACUAGGACAGAAGUGAAACUGAGCCUGUGGGUGAGGCAAGAAAUGUGGGGGAGCUGAGAUAUUUGGGAACACAGAUGAAAGAAAGGGAUGAAGACAGAGAUAAGAAGCAUAAAUAAGGUCUGCUUGGAUGCCCAUGACCUCUCUGAAGAGACCAGCACCCUGAUAUGUUUUUUCAGAAUAUCUGUCACUUUAAUCUAUUGGCAAAACUCACAUGGAAAAUGCUGUACUUCCUUUCCUCCUGAGCUUGUCACCCUUAAAAGGGUGCUUUGUAUUCCAUGGAUUCCUUGGAUUUGCCAGUCUUUUUUUUUUUUUUUUUAAUUUAGCUAACCAAUUUUAGUGGAGUUGAAACCAGACCGUGGUUUUCAAAGAGCAGAUAAACUGAGAGCAGACUAGAUUCUGACUUCCCCCACAUUCUGGUUUCAUUACGCUCUUGAAACCCAAAUCAAUUUUAUGAAAGAAAAAAAAAAAAAAGCUGAUAAAACUGGGCUUGAUUCUUAGCAAACCUGACCCAGUUAGAACCCAAAGUUGAAUGGAAUCCAGCUUUUAAUUUAGGGGGCUGUGCUAGCAGAAAUGAAACUAAAUGUGUAAGAACUGAAGAGAAGGAAAAAAUUAUUAUUAUGUGAUAAAUUUAUUAAUGCAAAUCUCUGAGCAAUGAGUGGACAGAUGGUAAGAAAAUAUUUCCAGGUCUAAAAACCCAGAAAUUACUCUAAGGUCAUAAUUCUAAAAUAACUCUUCUGAUUAAGUUCAAACUUUCCAAGAACAUUCAUCUUUUAUUUGAAAUGAACCAUGAGAAAUCUAAAACUAAAAGUCAUUGUAAACUGCUUGCAUGAGAAGAAUUAUAUUUUCACAAUGGAACUAUAGAGUAACCAUUGUCAAUUACUAACUACGAUAUUAAGGCAAGAGACAAAAUGUCAUUGGGUCCAAGAGAAAGAAGAAGAAACAGGAGAGUUAGGGGGAGGAGGAGUAAGGAGGUAGGGAAGAGAGUGAAGGAAGAAAGGAGAGAAUACAGUGAUUACACUGACUGAUUCUCAGAACAAGUACUUGUGACUAACAGGGUACUGGUAGCCUUAUUAUAAAUACCUCUCAGAUGUCUCAUUUUCCGUGGUAAGCAUCUCCCUUCUGGACCAGUCCCAGAGAGCUCUGUCUCCAGGGAAUCACAGAGUAGCUAAGUCAAUAUUUAAAACCAACUCUCACUGUUAUUCUCUCUCUAGGCCAGGAUUUCUCAACUUCAUAGCAAUUAACAAAUGGGGCCAAAAUGGGAUUAAACUUGAAAGAAUUUUGUUGGGGAAAAGUCUGUGAAAGAAGAUUGGGAGGCAGAUGGGGAAAGGUGGAACCAUCAGGUCAUGUUGCAAAUUGGACCUCCAAGUCAAGGAUGGAGGGGAGGAAGUUUGGGUGGAAGCAUUCUAGGCCCCAGUGCAGAAUGGAAGGUUUGGCAACUCUGUUGGGGUCCUUGAGCUGAAUGGGCCAUCUGGAACAGGCUUACUUUAAAAUUCCUACCCUACUCAGUCAUUGGCUGGGAGCAGCCCAUGGGAAGCAGAACUUCAGCAUGAAUAGGGUGCCAUAGGCUAAAUGGGCCCCCAAAUUUGUAUUUCAAAAUCUAAUUCCCAAUGUAUUUGGAGGCAGGGCUUUUGGGAGACUAUUAGGUCUUAAGGGCAAAGGCCUUAUAAAUGGGAUUAGUGCCCUAAUAAAUGGGGCCCCUGAGACUUCCUUUGCCCCUUCCACCAUAUGAGAACACAGCGGGGGAACUGGUCACCUAUGAAUCAGGAAAUGAGACCACACCAGAUACUAAGUCAGCCAGUGCUUUAAUCUUGAACCUCUGAGCCUCUAGAACUACAAGAAAUAAAUAUUCAGUAUUUAUAAACCACCCAAUCUGUUGCAUUUUGUUGGUGCAUCCAGAAGGGACUAAAACAGAGAAAUGAAUGUCACAGUGCAACAGCUUGUGCCUUUGGUCCGUUAUACUCCUUACAGUAGGAGAUCUGUGAGGCUCAUUCUCACGAAUGUCCCUUGUGCCAUGUGGAUCCACUUAUAGAUUCAAGCAGCUGCCUUUUCACAAUUCUGGUGGUUCUUUCUACCUAAAGGAAAACUCAGGAGAGGGAGGCUAAUGAAGUGAACAGCAGUCUCUGUCACAGUGAUUGUUCUCAUCCUCCUCUUCCUCCUCCACUGUCCAUUCUAAAUCCCUCACCCUCAUCCAUAGCUACCACUUCAGCAGGUUUUGGAGGCUUACCUGAUAGUUUGACCAAAACCAUAAUUUCUGAGGUCCGAGCCCUUGGUAAUUCAUACUUUUCACAGUCUUGAUUGAUAUCCAUGUUUGUUUACAAUUACAAAGGGGCAAGAAUACCAGGAAACACCCGAGUGGAUGACCUGUAUUCCUUGCUGUCCCCAUUGUGUAGAAGUAGCCCUACUUUACCUUGAUCAGAGUCAUAAUAGCAGUAACUAGAUCUAGCUUGCUAAGUGAAAGAUCAGACUACUGGGCCAAUAUGUCAUCUCCAUCCCUUCUGGUACAUUCACUGUCAAUGGCACUAGUUCUAGAGUGACCAGUGAUGAAGCCUGGCCAAUAUCAACUGACCAAAUAAUUGUAUUCAUUUGGUUGGUUAGUGCUUCUUCUACACUUGGCAGUUUCUGGUGAGCAUUAAUAUGACAUACAAAAUCUUUGCACUUUGUGCUCACUUCUAAAUGUCCAUCCAAAAGACUAUCCUAGACCUCCUUUUCUCUAAUAUUCCCAUCCUUUUCCUUCCAGAUCUUUGACCAAAUUGACAGCCAUUGGACACCUCCCAGGAUCCAUUUUCUCUCUCUCUUUUUUUAAAAUAUUUUAUUUAUUUAUUUGACAGGUAGAGUUACAGAUAGUGAGAGAGAGAGACAGAGACAGGUCUUCCCUCCGUUGGUUCACUCCCCAAAUGGCUGAAACGGCCAGAGCUGCUCCAAUCCGAAGCCAGGAACCAGGUACUUCCUCCUGGUCUCCCAUACGGGUGAAGGGGCCCAAGCACCUGGGCCAUCCUCCACUGCCUUCCCAGGCCACAGGAGUGAGCUGGAUUGGAAGAGGAACAACCAGGACUAGAACUGGCGCCCAUAUGGGAUGCCGGUGCCACAGGCGGAGGAUUAACCAAGUGAGCCACAGCGCCGGACCCCAUAUUCUCUUUUCAGGCUACCUCUUCUCCCUCUCCAAUGGAUGACUGUAUGCAUGACGCACAGCUCUGCCCAUCGGUAGGAUGUUUCCUCCCCUCUGUCCAGGACCACACAUGAAUGUGGAUAUAAUGCAACCACCAUCAACUUUCAACUUGUACCCAAGUGCGAAGCUGAGUCAGCUUUAAAGAAAAACACUUCUGGAUUUUCCUUCCUCAUCAGAGGAUUAUACUGAAAUAUCCGUUCAGCCAUAGGUCCAAAAGGGAGAGAGAGGGAGAGAGACACGUCUUCCAUCUCUGGUUCACUCCCCAGAUGGCCGCAACAGCUGAAACUGGGCUGAUCCAACCAGGUCUCACACACAGGUGCAGGGGCCCAAAGACUUGGGCCAUCUUCUACUGCUUUCCCAGGCCAUAGCAGAGAGCUGGAUCAGAAGAGGAGCAGCAAGGAUUUGAACUUGUGCCCAUAUGGGAUGCUGGCACUGCAGGCGGCAGCUUUACCCACUAUGCCAUGGUGCUUGCCCCAGCAACCCCUUUUUGAGAACUUUAAUGAUGACAUUGAUCUCCUCUCACUCCAAGGAGUUAUUACUCACUUAUGUACCAGUAAGUGUGAACUAGAAAGCAGCAUUGGAGUGGAAGACAUUACCCAAAAUGUUUAGGAGAGGAGACAGAAGGAAAGAUGGUCGUGAACAACACGUAUGAAAACAGGUGGUGUGGUUUCUGUCUCCUGACUUGAUCCUGGCAAAUACAGGUAGCAUCAUGGCACCACAGCAAACAGGUCUGCAAAUCCAGUGACCUGGUGGCUGUCCAGCAGAGUAUCCCGCAGAAAUGUCAAACUCAACAAUUCCCAAGACCGGACAUCUCGUCACAUGAGCCUACUGCUUCUGCUGUUUCCAGUUCCCAUUAUCUAAACUAGAAACUCAGAGUUAUCUCUGAUUCGUUCCUCUGUAUACACUCAAUCUAUGUUCCAUGAGUAGAGAUGACUAUGCUCUGUGCUUCCAGCACUUACUUGGUACUUACAGUACUUGGUUUAAAGCAAGUACUCAAGGGGCCCGUGCUGUGGCAUAGCGGGUAAAGGCACCACCUGCAGUGCCGGCACCCCAUAUGGGCACUGGUUCGAGUCCUGGCUGUUCCACUUACAAUUCAGCUCCCUGCUAUGGCCUUUAAAAAGUAAUGGAAGAUGGCCCAAGUGCUUGGGCCCGUGAACCCAUGUGAGAGACCUGGAAGAAGCUCCUGGCUCCUGGCUUCAGAUGGGCCCAGCUCCAGGUACUACAGCCAUUGGGAAGUGAACCAGCAGAUGGAAGAUUCUUUUUCUCUCCCUCUGUUUCUCUGUGCCUCUCUGUAACUCUGCCUUUCAAAUAACUAAAUAAAUUUUUUUAAAAAAAGCAGGUACUCAGUAACUACCAUAAAUGAAGGAUGAAUGCAUCCUUCAUCCCCCAAAUCUGAUCAGUUACCAAAUUCUAUUGAGUCUAUCCUUGAGUAACUUUUUCAACAUCCGUACAACAUGCCCCUCCCUCUCCCUCUCCCUCUCCCUCUGUCUCUCUUCCUCUCCCUCCCUCUCUCUCUCCAUACUUACCCUACAUAUCAGCCAUGCCAACAGAUCCUCACACCUUUGUGCCUGUACAUACAGUCUUGAUGUACACAACUUGCCCAUCCUUCAUCACUCAACUCAAGUUUUACCUCUGAAAAGAAGGCUGCCAGAGCCUCUUCCACGCAGAUCUUAGGCCAGGUUGGAUACUGCUCCUCCGGGCACCCAGACUGUAGGAGGGAUCGCACUACAGACUAAUGUCACUUUUCUCGUCUGAUGGCCUGCCACCACUGAGGCUAGACACUGUCCAUCAGCCAUCUCAGUGUUCACAGACUUUAGAGACAGGGGCUGGAAUCACAGACUUUGGAGUCAAAGAGUUGUGGGUUCAAAUUCUAGUUCUGCCUCUUAAGCUCUUUGAGCUUCAGUUUUCCUACCUCUCAAAUGGAGAGCAGGGUGGCAAUUAAAUAUACCUCACAGGUGGAAUUACUUUUUAGUAUAUAUUUUUAUUAAUAAAAAAAGAAUAGAUUUCAUGUAUUUCAAAGAUACAAUUCUAUAAGCGUAACGAUACUUCCUUCCCUCUCUCCUUUUCUUUUUUCUUUUAAUUUUUGUGAUAACAUAUGUUCAAUUUACUUUAUAAUCACAAGCUUAGUACUCCACUAAAUAUAGUGUUCACCAAGUAAAAAGUAGAAAGACCAGUGUUCCGCAGGUGUAUAGCCAAGGUCUAUAAUCAGAUCUCAAGAUGUUAACUUCACUCAUAUAAUCAGGAUUUGGUUUUAUUUUGGUACUCUGUGUAUCAGCUACCAAAAAUCAGAGAAAACAUAUAGAUGGUGGGGGGAGGCCGGUGCUGUGGCAUAGCAGGUAAAGUCACCACCUGCAGUGCCGGCAUCCCAUGUAGGUGCCAGUUCGAGACCUGGCUGCUCCACUUCCGAUCCAGCUCUCUGCUAUGGCCUGGGAAAGCAGUGGAAGAUGGUCCAAGUCCUUGGCCCCCUGCACGCGCAUGGGAGACCAGAAGAAGCUCCUGGCUCCUGGCUUUGGAUCGGUGCAGCCCCAGCUGUUGCAGCCAAUUGGAGUAUGAACCAGUGGGUGAAGACCUCUCUCCCUCUGCCUCUGCCUCUCUGUAACUCUGCCUUUCAAAUAAAUAAAUAAAUCUAAAAAAAAAAAAGACUAAACCAUUUAACUUUGAAAAAAAUAUGCAAUACUUUUCAAAAAGAAUUAUUUAUUUAUUUAUUUAUUUAUUUAUUUGAAAGGCAGAGUAACAGUGAAGCUUGGGAGAGAGAAUGAGAGACCUUUCAUCUACUUGUUCACUCCCCAAAUGGCCUCAACAGCAAGGCUGGGUUAAGCUGAAGCCAGGUGCCAGAGACUCCAUCAGGGUUUCCCACACAGGUACCUGGGCCCAAGUAUUUGGGCCAUGAUCUGCUACUUUCCCAGGCGCAUUAGCAGGGAACUGGAUCAGAAGCAGAGCAACUGGGAUUCAAAUCGGAGCUCCGAUACGGGAUGCUUGUGUCGAAAGAGGCGGUUUAACCUGCUGCACCAUAACAGCAGCCCACAAAGGAGGAAUUACUGCAUAAGGUAAUAAAUGCAAAGCACUUAGCACAGAGCUUAGUACACAACAGGGUCUUAGUAAAUAGCUAUGAAUCAAUCAAUUAAUGAAUUAAUUUAACAGUGCUGUGCGGUAAGUAUAUGGGGUAAUUUUCUUCUUCCUAAGCUUCCUGGGUCAGAACAGGCGAUGGUGGUGGGAAGAGGGGAUAUUGCAAUGACCCUCGAUGCAGUUGUUGCAACAGUGUUGGGCGAGGUGGAACUGCUGUCAGAAAUAGCUAGGCCAUUAUCAUCAGGCUUAGGCUGGGAGACUGCUCUCUAAGGGCAAAAUGGCCUGUACAGUACGGCUCAGGAAGUUCUAUUCCCUGCCUUCUCACUCCCCCUACCACAUCACUCUCUUCUCUCCUCACCACUAUGGCACGUGCCCUGUCCUCUGAGACUGCACCUCUGUGUAAAAGUGAAUUGGAAGCCAUGGGUGACAAAAUGACACAAUGCAAAUCUAGUGAAAUACGACACCUUUUUUCUCCUACAAAGUGACCCAGUUUUUAAUAAAAAAAAGAAGGUGUUUGUUAAAUUGAGUUAAGGUAGAAAUAUCCUCACAGUUGUGUUAAGGAUGAAAGCUCUGUGGUUUGGAUAUUUCUAGAAACUUAACCUCAAUGUGCAAAUUAGAAAUCAUCACAAAUGGAAAAUAUUCCGUUCCCACCCAGUACCAUAUCAUGCCAAUAAUGUAAGCUUCUGGAGACAAGGGCAGAGAAAAAGUCCUUUCAAGAAGACAUUUGGGUGAACUGAAACUCUAGUCCAGUAAACUUUAAACAAUUACAUUUGAAAUAACUCUUACAGUAUUGAGGAUUUUCAGAAGUAAGCAAAAAGGGGAUGAGAUAUCUGUUUGCUACCAUGGUUACUACUGUCAGUUUUCUGCGUGGUUUGGUUCGGUUCUGAAUCACUGGUGUGCAGCAAGGUUUUUAACCCCCUUUCUGGGGGCAAGAGCUGGUUCAGUCCACACCAUGGGCAGCUGUCAUUCCUCUGGCUGCCUGCCAUUUGAACCUCCUGCCUCUGUGGACAGUCGCCUCUAUUAGGAGUCUUCAUAGGAGGCGGAACCCAUUUUCCACCACAAAAGCUAACAUGCCAGAUACUACCUUUCCCAGCAUCCCUUGCAAGUAGUUACAGACACAGGAGCCGGGAUCCACCGAUCAGAAGCACCCAUUCUGGAAUCUGAAGCGGCCACUGGUGACCAAAGCAGCAGUGACUGUGAGACCCACUGUAGAGGUGGUGGCAGUUGCAGCAAAGCCAGAUCCUGUUUCUAUGGCAGUGGCAGCUGCAAUGCUGUGCCCAUCUGCACCUGGAGUGGUUAUUCUGUUGUGUCAACGGCAGGGUACAGCACCUGGCACGGACAGUGGGGGUGGCAUUGUCACCAAAGCCCUGUGCGGUGUAACUUGGGAUACUCGCCCUGCGACUGAAGCUCCAAGCCUGGUUCCCACACUCUCCUAGCAAUCUUAGGAGCACCCCAGGGUUCUUUUCAUGAAUAAGUGUGAAUCCGCUGGAGGCUGUGCUGCCUACCACUAGGAAUUCUGAUGGAUUCUGAGAGCCUAAGGGGAUUAACACAGGAAAAUUCAGAAAACUGGAGCCAGGCUGUUCCCACUUCAGAGAAGUCUAGGGCCAGUAGUGACACCCCCUCCUCACCCAACCCCCACCACCACCAUCAGAGAGCGGGCUGUGUAUGGGGGACUUGAAACACCUCUGUUGCCAGACGAAGCAGUGGGAGCCAAGUGAAUGGUUAGGAUGUGUGGGUGCGUACAUCCACGUGCUAAGUGAAGCACAAAAGCAGACAGAUGAAGCCAUGCUCCGCGCCAUCCUGAACAUGGACGAGUCAAGGGAAAGCAAGCAACAGGCACCCAGAAGUGGGGAUGUUUGAAGCCACAGAUUGAAAAUCCACGAUCCCCUGGGUCUUUCUCUCAGUCUGUUUUGAGUAAGGCUCCCAUUUCUGUCCAUAGAACUCCACGGAUGUUCAAAUAAGUGGUUUAUACUAUUUACUUUUAAGAAAUUAAUUCAACAGAAUUUUAACAAAGAGAUGUCACCUACAGAGUACAAGCGUAGUUGGUUAGUAUCCGUAUGUGAAUUAAAUGCAAGCCUCAGUAUCUGUAUAUUUACAAAAAUGUUGUUAUGUGCUCCAGUUAACUCCGUGUUACAUUCUUUUGCUGUUUCCUACAGCAUUUCAA